rnacentral:rRNA from 1 species
ACGAACGCUGGCGGCGUGCUUAACACAUGCAAGUCAAGGAGAAAGUCCCGCUUGCGGGAACUAGUAAACUGGCGAACGGGUGAGUAACACGUAGGUAAUCUGCCUUCGAGAUUGGGAUAACGUCGAGAAAUCGGUGCUAAUACCAAAUAAUGUCUCGGUAUAAUCUAUCGGGAUGAAAAGUGGGGAUCUUCGGACCUACUGCUUGAAGAUGAGCCUGCGUCUGAUUAGCUAGUUGGUAGGGUAAUGGCUUACCAAGGCUGCGAUCAGUAGCUGGUCUGAGAGGACGAUCAGCCACACUGGGACUGAGACACGGCCCAGACUCCUACGGGAGGC